rnacentral:antisense_RNA from 1 species
CUUGAUCGAGCCGAGCCACAGCGGCCGCUCCGCGGUGUGGGCCUGGCCGUAGGCCGAGAGCAGCGCCUGCGCCUC